GAUGAACGCUGGCGGCGUGCCUAAUACAUGCAAGUCGAGCGAACAGACGAGGAGCUUGCUCCUCUGAUGUUAGCGGCGGACGGGUGAGUAACACGUGGAUAACCUACCUAUAAGACUGGGAUAACUUCGGGAAACCGGAGCUAAUACCGGAUAAUAUAUUGAACCGCAUGGUUCAAUAGUGAAAGACGGUUUUGCUGUCACUUAUAGAUGGAUCCGCGCCGCAUUAGCUAGUUGGUAAGGUAAUGGCUUACCAAGGCGACGAUGCGUAGCCGACCUGAGAGGGUGAUCGGCCACACUGGAACUGAGACACGGUCCAGACUCCUACGGGAGGCAGCAGUAGGGAAUCUUCCGCAAUGGGCGAAAGCCUGACGGAGCAACGCCGCGUGAGUGAUGAAGGUCUUCGGAUCGUAAAACUCUGUUAUUAGGGAAGAACAAAUGUGUAAGUAACUAUGCACGUCUUGACGGUACCUAAUCAGAAAGCCACGGCUAACUACGUG
rnacentral:rRNA from 1 species